CAAGUCGAACGGUAAGGCCCUUCGGGGUACACGAGUGGCGAACGGGUGAGUAACACGUGGGUGAUCUGCCCUGCACUUCGGGAUAAGCCCGGGAAACUGGGUCUAAUACCGGAUAGUACUGCGCGGUGCAUGCCGUGUGGUGGAAAGAUUUAUCGGUGCAGGAUGGGCCCGCGGCCUAUCAGCUUGUUGGUGGGGUAAUGGCCUACCAAGGCGACGACGGGUAGCCGGCCUGAGAGGGCGACCGGCCACACUGGGACUGAGACACGGCCCAGACUCCUACGGGAGGCAGCAGUGGGGAAUAUUGCACAAUGGGCGCAAGCCUGAUGCAGCGACGCCGCGUGAGGGAUGACGGCCUUCGGGUUGUAAACCUCUUUCAGCAGGGACGAAGCGCAAGUGACGGUACCUGCAGAAGAAGCACCGGCCAACUACGUGCCAGCAGCCGCGGUAAUACGUAGGGUGCAAGCGUUGUCCGGAAUUACUGGGCGUAAAGAGCUCGUAGGCGGUUUGUCGCGUCGUCUGUGAAAACCAGCAGCUCAACUGUUGGCUUGCAGGCGAUACGGGCAGACUUGAGUAUUUCAGGGGAGACUGGAAUUCCUGGUGUAGCGGUGAAAUGCGCAGAUAUCAGGAGGAACACCGGUGGCGAAGGCGGGUCUCUGGGAAAUAACUGACGCUGAGGAGCGAAAGCGUGGGUAGCGAACAGGAUUAGAUACCCUGGUAGUCCACGCCGUAAACGGUGGGCGCUAGGUGUGGGUAUCCUACCACGGGAUCCGUGCCGUAGCUAACGCAUUAAGCGCCCCGCCUGGGGAGUACGGCCGCAAGGCUAAAACUCAAAGGAAUUGAC
rnacentral:rRNA from 1 species